rnacentral:rRNA from 1 species
GACGAACGCUGGCGGCGUGCUUAACACAUGCAAGUCGAACGAAGAGCGAUGGAAGCUUGCUUCUAUCAAUCUUAGUGGCGCACGGGUGAGUAACGCGUAAUCAACCUGCCCUUCAGAGGGGGACAACAGUUGGAAACGACUGCUAAUACCGCAUACGAUCUAAUCUCGGCAUCGAGGAAAGAUGAAAGGUGGCCUCUAUUUAUAAGCUAUCACUGAAGGAGGGGAUUGCGUCUGAUUAGCUAGUUGGAGGGGUAACGGCCCACCAAGGCGAUGAUCAGUAGCCGGUCUGAGAGGAUGAACGGCCACAUUGGGACUGAGACACGGCCCAGACUCCUACGGGAGGCAGCAGUGGGGAAUCUUCCGCAAUGGACGAAAGUCUGACGGAGCAACGCCGCGUGAGUGGUGACGGCCUUCGGGUUGUAAAGCUCUGUUAAUCGGGACGAAAGGCCUUCUUGCGAACAGUUAGAAGGAUUGACGGUACCGGAAUAGAAAGCCACGGCUAACUACGUG